rnacentral:lncRNA from 1 species
GUGAAAUUUGGUACUUUUUAUUUUUUUUUACAAAAUAAACAUUAACUUAUAUAAAUCAUUUAUACAUAUAUCUUCACACAAGGUAUACUUCCUUAUACUUUACAAAAUGUUAUAAUCCCUACUUUUCACCUUCAAUUAUCAUUGUAUUCUACUAUCUAAAUGUUUCCACUGCAUAAGGCCAUGUGGAAGGGAGCUCCAUCGCUGUUCUAUCAUUUAUUAAUUUCUCUCUUCUGCCUCUUCAGUAUCUAAAGUGUUUCUGUUGUUAGGGCCUGUUUUGUUCUUUUGAUUGGUUUUUUAAUUUUAGCACUGUUCUAUUGUAUGUGCAAGUUCUCAUUGCAAGUUUCCACUACUAGUGCUGUAGUCAACUUCUUCUUGGCUAUAUCUUUUUUGUGCUCUUCUAUCCUUUGGGAUAGGGUUUGGGUGGUGAUGACCCCUAUAUAUGAUGCUGAAUUCUGUGUCAUUAUCUCUUUCACUGGUAUUUUAUUCAUUCCUUGCUUUUCUAAGUCUUUUAAAGGGGUCUUUUUCAUUUCUGAGUAAGCUAAAGAUUAUCAGUCCCCUCUCUAUUGCUAAUUUUUUGUUCAUCCUUUUAGCAAUCUUAUCUACAAAGUUAAAUCUUUUGAGGCUAUAUGGCACUGUCAUAUAACUUUCUUGUUGUCUUACUUGACUGACUAUCUGCUAUCAGCUACUGGCUAUAUUGCUGAGGCUUUUUUAUACAUUUCUUUUUAUACUUUUUAUAAAUGAUUUUCCAUAUCCAUGCUGUU